AACGAACGCUGGCAGCAGGCUUAACACAUGCAAGUCGAACGGGCAUAGCAAUAUGUCAGUGGCAGACGGGUGAGUAACACGUGGGAACCUUCCUAGAGGUACGGAACAACGCAGGGAAACUUGUGCUAAUACCGUAUACGCUCGAGAGAGGAAAGAUUUAUCGCCUUUAGACGGGCCCGCGUAGGAUUAGGUAGUUGGUGAGGUAACGGCUCACCAAGCCUACGAUCCUUAGCUGAUCUGAGAGGAUGAUCAGCCACACUGGGACUGAGACACGGCCCAGACUCCUACGGGAGGCAGCAGUGGGGAAUCUUGGACAAUGGGCGCAAGCCUGAUCCAGCCAUGCCGCGUGAGUGAAGAAGGCCUUCGGGUUGUAAAGCUCUUUUACCAGGGACGAUAAUGACGGUACCUGGAGAAUAAGCCCCGGCUAACUUCGUGCCAGCAGCCGCCGCGG
rnacentral:rRNA from 1 species